GCAGAUCCCGCGCGGCAGCUGUGCGGCCUCCGCAGAGAGCCGGGGGCCAGAGCCCGGGAGGCCGGCGCCGCAGGGCCGAGGCCCGCGGUGCGGAGAGGUAGGAGGCCGAGCCCGCUGAGGUCAUUUCCUGUGCCUCUCCGCGAGCCGCCCGCAGAGCCGAGCCGGCGCUGGCCUCUAAGGAGCGGGCGGGAGCGGGCGGGAGGAGGUGGCGCGGCGGAGCGCAGAGCGGGGCGCAGCGAGGCGAGGACUGGCCGUGCGCGGCCAGCCUCCGGGCGCCCCUCCCGGCCGCCCCGCCCACCCCGACCCCUGCUGCCGGGGAGCGGAGACCCGGCGGCCGCCGCGGACUCGGGCGAGAGCGACGCAAGGUCAGCGGCGGGUGCGCGCGGAGGGCGCCGGGUGCGGGUGCGGGGGCGCGGCGCGGACGCCUGCGAGCCCGGCGGAGGUGAGCUGCCCCGCGGCCCGCGGGCAGGGCUGGGCGUGCGGGGUGUGCGCUCGACGGGAGGGUGUCUGGUCGGCGGAGAGGACCAGCUCCCUCCGGCCGAGGGCGAUUCCGGAGCAGGUGCCUCCCCACCUGGAACCGAACUCCCAGCCGCUGGGAGCGCUGGAGCCGCGAGUGCGGCUCGGAGGACCCGCACGGUGAGGCGAGGAGUCGCCUUCCAGGGGAGGAUCGGGAGUUUGGGACCGGCUGGAUCCAGUUGCUCCCGGGAACGGCCCUCGGGGCGUACUGGCAGUCUUCCCACCGCGGUACCUGUCGUCUCGCUCGCUGGCUCCCCUCCUCACCUCAUCUCAGGUUAUCGCUUGUGUGAUUUCUCGGUGGUUCUCUUAGGAGUCCUAAUGGGAUCAGGCUCAACUCCUAGAGGCAGGUCAGCCAAGCAGAAAAGAAAACAAGUUGGGCGCCGAAUGACACCAGGAGCUUUGUGUCCUGAGAUUUCGAGAGGAAUCGGUCACCAGGAACCAGGGGGCCUUAAGUGGGGUGGCAGAGGCAGUGAAGACCCUCAUCUGGGUAGAAUCCUCUCCCUGUUGGAGUUCUCCCUGCCAGGACAUCUCCAUAAGCUUUUGCUAAGAAUCCUCCUCAUAAAACGCUUCCGGACAGAGCCUUAG
rnacentral:lncRNA from 1 species